AUCCCAUAAUUAAAGGGCAUAUUUAAGUAAUGAAACUCUGGAUUGCUCAUCCUUAAGUGGUGUGUGCAAUCUUCAACAAUGGCAAUACAACAAAACGUGUAUUUUGGUAGGAGUAACCAAGUGCAAGCUAAUAUUUCCAAAAGAAGGACUUGGAGCUGCUGAUACAUGACACGCCAGGAGAGUCUGUGGCCUUUGGAAAUGAAUCACCUUUAAAAAGGAAUGACCAGGAUGACCUGAAGCAGGUGAAGAGGCAGUCAGCCCAGCUCACUUUUUCCUUCUGUGCAGUGUCAUCAUAAAACUCUACACUGAUUUUCAUCUGUUGUGACCACACAGUUAAGAAAGGCUCUUCAGCCCUCGCCAAACCCAUCACCUAACACUCGAGGAAUAGAGGCUUCCAAGCAUUUUGGACACCUGCCCCAUUUCUGAAGGCCCCAUUUUCAGGGGGCAGUGCAGAUGCCUAACUAUGAGCAAGGAGGAAUACAUCUGGGAGUACGUAUGUGCCAAGGCUCUGGCAGGGAGAUGAAGCCUACAUUUGCCACGUCUGGUUUCCAAAAUAACAGAUGACUGAGCAGUGCAACUGCAUUCAGUGCUGGCAUGGCAGCCUCAGGAAUGAGAAGAAGCUCCUGGUGACAGAUCCAUUAUUGCAAACCCACGCCAGGCUGUAGGAUAUGGGGGAAAAGAAAGGAUCCAGGUACAGAAAAAUUGAUUUCUUUAAUUUCUCCUGCUUGCAACUGCGUUCAACUAUUGUUCUUUAAAGCAGUGUGUAAUACAGCUCUGUUCACCAAGUGGGGUAUGGUUAGAGGACCACUGAGCACAGCUAUCUGGGAGGUUUAUAACAUCUUCUGAUUUCCUUUGGGUAACUGGGGAAAGGUUAGAGGAACAUGAUAACACCACACAACUUGUGGGGGGAUAUUCCCCUUUUAUGUACUGUUCUAAGGAGCUUUCAAUUCUAGGUUAUUGUAUCUAAAUCCAUUCCAAUCUGGUAGUGAAUGUAGUCUGUUCC
rnacentral:lncRNA from 1 species